GUAUAAGAGACAGCAGUCGCCGCGGUAAUACAGAGGGUGCGAGCGUUAAUCGGAUUUACUGGGCGUAAAGCGUGCGUAGGCGGCUUCUUAAGUCGGAUGUGAAAUCCCUGAGCUUAACUUAGGAAUUGCAUUCGAUACUGGGAAGCUAGAGUAUGGGAGAGGAUGGUAGAAUUCCAGGUGUAGCGGUGAAAUGCGUAGAGAUCUGGAGGAAUACCGAUGGCGAAGGCAGCCAUCUGGCCUAAUACUGACGCUGAGGUACGAAAGCAUGGGGAGCAAACAGGAUUAGAUACCCCGGUAGUCCCUGUCUCUUAUAC
rnacentral:rRNA from 1 species